rnacentral:rRNA from 1 species
GGCUAUGGCCAUGCCACCCUGAACAAGCCCGAUGUCUGAUCUCAGAAGCUAAGCAGGGUCGGGCCUGGUUAGUACUUGGAUGGGAGACCACCUAAGAAGCCCAGGUGCUGUAAGCA